rnacentral:rRNA from 1 species
AACUUUCAACAAUGGAUCUCUUGGCUCUCGCAUCGAUGAAGAACGCAGCGAAAUGCGAUACGUAAUGUGAAUUGCAGAAUUCAGUGAAUCAUCGAAUCUUUGAACGCACCUUGCGCCCCUUGGCAUUCCGAGGGGCACACCCGUUUGAGUGUC